rnacentral:rRNA from 1 species
UACGUAGGGGGCAAGCGUUGUCCGGAAUCAUUGGGCGUAAAGCGCGUGUAGGCGGUCCGGUAAGUCCGCUGUGAAAGUCCAGGGCUCAACCCUGGGAUGCCGGUGGAUACUGUCGGGCUAGAGUGCGGAAGAGGCGAGUGGAAUUCCCGGUGUAGCGGUGAAAUGCGCAGAUAUCGGGAGGAACACCAAUUGCGAAGGCAGCUCGCUGGGACGUAACUGACGCUGAGACGCGAAAGCGUGGGGAGCAAACAGG